rnacentral:rRNA from 1 species
GACGAACGCUGGCGGCGUGCUUAACACAUGCAAGUCGAACGGAAAGGCCCUGCUUUUGUGGGGUGCUCGAGUGGCGAACGGGUGAGUAACACGUGAGUAACCUGCCCUUGACUUUGGGAUAACUUCAGGAAACUGGGGCUAAUACCGGAUAGGAUCUCCUGCUGCAUGGUGGGGGUUGGAAAGUUUCGGCUGUUGGGGAUGGACUCGCGGCUUAUCAGCUUGUUGGUGGGGUAGUGGCUUACCAAGGCUUUGACGGGUAGCCGGCCUGAGAGGGUGACCGGCGACAUUGGGACUGAGAUACGGCCCAGACUCCUACGGGAGGCAGCAGUGGGGAAUAUUGCACAAUGGGCGGAAGCCUGAUGCAGCAACGCCGCGUGCGGGAUGACGGCCUUCGGGUUGUAAACCGCUUUCGCCUGUGACGAAGCGUGAGUGACGGUAAUGGGUAAAGAAGCACCGGCUAACUACGUG